CCUACGGGAGGCAGCAGUAGGGAAUCUUCCACAAUGGACGGAAGUCUGAUGGAGCAACGCCGCGUGAGUGAAGAAGGGAUUCGGCACGUAAAGCUCUGUUGGUAGUGAAAAAAGAUAGAGGUAGUAACUGGCCUUUAGUUGACGCGAAUUACUAAGAAAGUCACGGCCAACUACGUGCAAGCAGCCGCGGUAAUACGUAGGUGGCAAGAGUUGUCCGGGUUUAUUGGGCGUAAGGCGAUUGCAGUCUGGUCAAUCAGUCUGAUGUGAAAGCCUUCGGCUCAACCGGUGUGUUGCAUCAGAAACUGUUGAAGUGGAGUGAAGGAGAGGAGAGUGGAACUCCAGGUGUAGCGGUGGAAUGCGUAGAUAUAUAGAAGAACGCCAGUGGCGAAGGCGGCUCUCUGGUCUGCAACUGAUGCUGAGGCUCGAAAGCAUGGGUAGCGAACAGGAGUAGAUACCCUAGUAGUC
rnacentral:rRNA from 1 species